rnacentral:rRNA from 1 species
UAGAGUGGCGGACUGGUGAGUAACACGUGGGUGAUCUACAUUUAGGAUGGGGAUAGCUACUAGAAAUAGUAGAUAAUACCGAAUGNDCUUACUAUGAUAAAGCGUAGUAAGGAAAAGGAGCUAUGGCUUCGCCUAGAUAGGAGCCCGNNUCCCAUUAGCUAGUUGGUAUGGUAAAAGCUUACCAAGGCAACGAUGGGUAUCCGGCUUGAGAGGGUGAUCGGACACAUUGGGACUGAGACACAGCCCAGACUCCUACGGGAGGCAGCAGCUAAGAAUCUUCCGCAAUGGACGCAAGUCUGACGGAGCGACGCCGCGUGAAUGAAGAAGGCCGAAAGGUUGUAAAAUUCUUUUAAGUCUGAAGAAUAAACAGUGUAGGGAAUGACACUGAGAUGACGGUAAGGCUUGAAUAAGCCCCGGCUAAUUACGUGCCAGCAGCCGCGGUAACACGUAAGGGGCGAGCSUUGUUCGGAAUUAUUGGGCGUAAAGGGUAUGCAGGCUGUUAAUCAAGCCCGAUGUGAAAUUCUCAAGCUUAACUUGAGAACUGCAUUAGGAACUGGUUAACUUGAAUCACGAAGGGGAAACUGGAAUUCCAGGUGUAGGGGUGGAAUCUGUAGAUAUCUGGAAGGAUACCGGUGGCGAAGGCGAGUUUCUGGUCGAUGAUUGA